rnacentral:rRNA from 2 species
CUCCCAAAUUGAUUUUAUGCUUGCAUAAAUGAUUUUUGGAUUCGGAGCGAGUGGCGAACUGGUGAGUAACACGUGGGUAACCUGCCCCGAAGCGGGGGAUAACAUUUGGAAACAAGUGCUAAUACCGCAUAAUUAGUUGGAACCGCAUGGUUCCAACUUGAAAGAUGGCUCUGCUAUCACUUUGGGAUGGACCCGCGCCGUAUUAGUUAGUUGGUGAGAUAAAAGCCCACCAAGACGAUGAUACGUAGCCGACCUGAGAGGGUAAUCGGCCACAUUGGGACUGAGACACGGCCCAGACUCCUACGGGAGGCAGCAGUAGGGAAUCUUCCACAAUGGACGAAAGUCUGAUGGAGCAACGCCGCGUGAGUGAUGAAGGUUUUCGGAUCGUAAAACUCUGUUGUUAAAGAAGAACAAGUGUUAGAGUAACUGUUAACACUUUGACGGUAUUUAACCAGAAAGCCACGGCUAACUACGUGCCAGCAGCCGCGGUAAUACGUAGGUGGCAAGCGUUGUCCGGAUUUAUUGGGCGUAAAGCGAGCGCAGGCGGUUUUGUAAGUCUGCUGUGAAAGCCCUCAGCUCAACUGAGGAAGUGCAGUGGAAACUACAAAACUUGAGUACAGAAGAGGAAAGUGGAACUCCAUGUGUAGCGGUGAAAUGCGUAGAUAUAUGGAAGAACACCAGUGGCGAAGGCGGCUUUCUGGUCUGUUACUGACGCUGAGGCUCGAAAGCAUGGGU